rnacentral:misc_RNA from 1 species
AGGUAAAAAGAAAUAUAUGUAGGAAUAGGAUUGAAAGGAUGACGCCGUAACCGAGUGAGAAAUUGGUUCGUUUUUUUUUAAUGUUUGGAUUAUACAUUGUUCACGAAUCUGUUCUUGCUCUGGUUCAUGAGGGAAGAAAAUCCUAAUUAUACACUUUAUUUUUUAUUAAAAAAUUCCUUGUUUUUUUAAUUGAAAGCUAAAGUCCCACCGCCUCCCAAGAAAAAAUAAAGGCUAUUUUUGUUGAAUAGAAUACGCCGCGAUUAUUUUUAGGAUUUCAUAAUCAUGCCUAAACUGGUAGGAUGUUUGUUUGUAUUCCAUUUUAUUAGAUUCAUGAAAAACAAUUGAAUUUAUUUGAUAUUUAUGUCGAGAUUAUGAUUAAAA